ACCUGGCUGGCUCAGUUGGUGGAGCAAGAGACUCUUGACUUUGGGGUUGUGGGUUCAAGCCACAUGUUGGGUG
rnacentral:tRNA from 1 species